CACUCCUACGGGAGGCAGCAGUGGGGAAUAUUGCACAAUGGGCGCAAGCCUGAUGCAGCGACGCCGCGUGGGGGAUGAAGGCCUUCGGGUUGUAAACUCCUUUCGCUAGGGACGAAGCUUUUUUGUGACGGUACCUAGAUAAGAAGCACCGGCUAACUACGUGCCAGCAGCCGCGGUAAUACGUAGGGUGCGAGCGUUGUCCGGAAUUACUGGGCGUAAAGGGCUCGUAGGUGGUUUGUCGCGUCGUCUGUGAAAUUCUGGGGCUUAACUCCGGGCGUGCAGGCGAUACGGGCAUAACUUGAGUGCUGUAGGGGUAACUGGAAUUCCUGGUGUAGCGGUGAAAUGCGCAGAUAUCAGGAGGAACACCGAUGGCGAAGGCAGGUUACUGGGCAGUUACUGACGCUGAGGAGCGAAAGCAUGGGUAGCGAACAGGAUUAGAAACCCUAGUAGUCCCA
rnacentral:rRNA from 1 species